UACGUAGGGACCAAGCGUUGUUCGGAUUUACUGGGCGUAAAGGGCGCGUAGGCGGCAUGGCAAGUCACUUGUGAAAUCUCCGGGCUUAACCCAGAAAGGUCAACUGAUACUGCGGGGCUAGAGUGCAGAAGGGGCAACUGGAAUUCUCGGUGUAGCGGUGAAAUGCGUAGAUAUCGAGAGGAACACCUGCGGCGAAGGCGGGUUGCUGGGCUGACACUGACGCUGAGGCGCGAAAGCUAGGGGAGCGAACGGG
rnacentral:rRNA from 1 species